CCAAGUAUUUAUUCACAAGAUUGACCAAAGCUGAUUUAGAUGACCAAAUUAUGAACAUUAUGACCCACCCUGAGGCUGUAAGAGUGUGCCUAAUGAGAGAAUGCAUACUUUUAUAGGACUUAUACUUUUAUAAGGAGUUAUAGGACUUAAUAUACUCAAGAAGACCAAGCGAUCCUUAUGGGACUGUACAUGCUGGACAUACAGAUCGUGCCCUGAUGCCAUCUGCCCCAUUCUCCCAGCCUCAUCUUCCCUCUCUAUGGCUAGCUUCACAUCGGUUGGCUCUCCUUUGGCUUUCUUCGGCUCUCUUCAUCCUGUCUGCCUGCCUCGCUGCUCUCCCCGAUACCAUUUCCUGUCUGAUGCCUUGACCUCUGACUCUUUCUGCCAGGUGCCAUCUUCAGCGUUGACUCACUUUAGUGCCACCCUGCUGAUUGGCAUUGCACUUCUGAGGUCAUCACCAUCUUUCUUCAGCCAACCAAAACAAUUUUCACCAACCACCCCGGCUCUGCUAAGCUUGAUGUUGGAGGUCUGCUGUUUUUGAAGCAGGGGACCACUGUCCAUUAAAGGCUUUCUAAACCAUUUAACAAAAUCACCAAAGAUAGGGUAGUUCAUACUCCAUGUGAUGUGCUAUACAAUGGAAGGGCCAUCACAUCUGGAUACUGCAAAGAACAAUUUACUAACUUAUCAAUUAUUAAAUGAAGAAAGGCCAUGGAAAAGCAAAGAUAUUUCUUUC